UGUGUUCAGCACCAUAAACUGAGAGUUGCUGGGAAUUCUCCUUGUGGGGGAUCCCGUGGGAUACUCACUCACGCUGUAAUAUAGGAAAGAGGGUAAAAAUGGGGAGAGGUUUUUAAUGUCUAGUAUUAUAUCUUGAGUUGCUCCAGCACUUGCCAUAUUUUGGGACGGCCUAAUUUUUUCAAGAGAAAUUGAAAAGAGGGGGAGUGGGGGGGUUGCAUAUCAGCAGUUCCACUAUUUAGAGAAAGGAACCAACCCUCACACCCACAACCCCUAACCCUCAAACACGGGAGUUGUCUUUGUAAGUUUCUGUUGCUUUGAAGUUUGGGGACAUUAACCAGAGCCUUCCACUGCUCCUAGACCUUCUAGGACACUCUUCUUUUGUUGAGCAAUAAGUGAAAAUAAGAACAUGUUGUGUUUCAUUUGGGAAAGCAGCUUUUACAAUAGGCCUGAUGAAGGUGCAGUUGUUCUGUUUAUACCAAUGUCCUGUUCUAGUCCCUGCCUUCUAGCUUGGCUGUUACAGCAUUGUAACUUUUGAAAGGUUUUUUUGUUGUUGCUAUUUGGUUUUAAUCAUUCCUUGUUAUCAGCACUUUAUCUUCUCCUUGCUGGAGGUAGGGGAAAAGUUAAUGUGCUGCUGGCAUGGAUCACUUGUGUUUGUAUAUUCUCUUCUAAAAUAACUUGUGAGGUUUGAAUUUCAUGCAAACCUAACUUAAAAUUUUGUAUUUGUGUGCAAAAAUAUUCAAAAUCUUUACUCUGGGUAUGUUUUAAAUAAUAAUACUUAGAAGUAUGUGAGUGCAAAAAUGAAGGAGAUAUAUUUCUAUUUCUUCUUACUACUAUUCACAAGAAUAGGUGAGAGGUGGAAAGAAACAAGAGAAUAACCGAGGAGAGGAAAAAAUUAUGUAUUUUGGAGAAGGGGAGUCUCACUGGAAUUUUCUGUGAGAAGCUCCAAAAAGCUGAUGGUUGUUUUUUGGAAAAAUCUCUUGUGCUGCUGUGUGCAAUGGAAUGGCAUUAGAAUUUAGCUGUCUUCUGCAUUGAAUAAAAGCUUUGGGGUUUGUCAGGAAGAGUAAGAUCUUUUCUUGCUCUUUUCUAAUUCAGUGUUGGGGAUCUCUCUGGGACUGCUUUCCAUAGGGAUGGAAGGCACACAAAGUUCUGCUGUGGGAGAAAUGCAAAGGUGUGGUGGAACUGCACAGCCCAAAGACUGGCAAGGAACAGGUCCUUCCUCCUCCUUGCUCGGGGCAUGAGAGGUUGAAGUGAGGAAAGGACAGUCUGAGCCUUAUCUGCAGUGCAACAUUUGUCACUACAGCUCAGUCCAAGGAAUUCUUGGUUAAACAUGCCCUGAAAAUGUGGGACUCAUUCCCAUUGGAUUAGGUGUGCCUUUCUUUUGUUUGAUGCAAUGCAGUCCUUGUGCAAUUGUGAACUUUACUGUGAAAAUCCACACAAGCUGCACUGAAUAUUAAUUGUAGCAAUAAUAUUAAAUUAAAAUGUCCUUGAAAGAUCAGGACCUUUUGGGUUUUUGUUUUGUUCUGUUUUGUUUUGGCAUGGGUUUGGUCGGUUGGUUAUUUUGUUUUGGUUUUGUUUUUUGAAAAGCAACAAAAAAACUUAGAAAACCAAUCAAUUUUGCUUAGUUUUUAGUGACAAGAAAUCUAUGUCUGGGAAUAUAAACUGUCAGAUUGCUUACAAUGCUGCGUAUUUUGUGUGUGUGUUAAAUUGCUCUAAAAUGUUUUAUCAAAAGUCAGGUCCAUCAUAUUCCUGCUGGGAUCUGGAGCACAGAUCACAGGUUGGGUGAUGGAGGCCUUGAGGAGAUACAUCCUGGAGUUAGAGCUGGAGUUACACCUGGCAGUGCUCAUGACAGUGAUGGACUCUUUCUCUUGCUCGUGAGGAGGAGAAGGCCUGUUCCACCAGUGGUUCCCUUUCAGACACAGCUACUCUGGCUAAACAGCACGGGGCAGCUGCAGUGUGGGAACUCCCUGCACAGCCUGGAGAUCUUCCAGCUACAGAGCAAGUUCAGCACUGGAUACUGGAGCUUCCAGAGGGUUUGCAAUGCCAGGAUAAUGACUCUCCUUAUGGUUCAGGAGAUAAAAAAAUUGUGAAGUGUACAGGGAAAAAAUGGUUGCUCUUUAGCAGACUACGCCACUGAAAAUGGAACUCCAGAAACUCUUUGUGUGGAAUCUGAUAUCUGAUAUAAUGGUGGCAUCAUUAAGUAGCACGGAGCAGGAAAGAACCAAUGCAACCCAAAGUUCCUUUGGUUUCAGGCUGACUUUAGAUUGUACUGCCCAUUGCUGUUCCACCCAGGCCUGUGUCAGUCUGUGCUGAAAGCAGUGCUGUGGCUCUGGCUCUUGAGAGAGACCAGGCACUACCGAGCACCACGCAGGGGGACCUGAUUUCCAACCUUUCUCCUUUGGGCUUCCCAGCAUUUUCUUGUUCUAGAAGUAAAUCUCCCCUGAACUCGUCUGUGGCUGGCCCUGAGCUGAAGAAUUAGCAGUGCUACCUGGAAUUCAGGCUUUGCUUUUCAGCUGGAGUCAUUGUACCUUGGCCAGGCACUCGCCUCAUCUGGAUGUGAGAUGGACCUGCCAAGAACUGGAGGCAGAAGCAGCAGGGACUUCUCUGAGUUCAGUCCAGGGGACACUGCAGAGGCUGUGACCCUCCUGAUGAACCCUGCUUGGUUCCGUGCAGGCAGACCAAAGCUGUUUCCCUCAGUGACCUUUCUGCAUGUGAGAUUUCAUCUCCUAUUCCUGCUCACUUAUGUUUGUUUUGUGGGAGUCCUACUGAGAGUAGAGUGACUCAAGAUACACAAAUGGAGAGAAAUAAUUCAAACUGCAUGUGAUUUUAAACCUCCUUUUCAGCUGCAAAUAGAAAGCUAAAACUGGUUUGCCAUUAACUCCUGGCUUUAAGCCAAAAUGUCUGUGCCUUUGGGGAACUCACAAAGUCUAACCUGGAUUCAGGUGUGUGUUCUGUGAGCACCCACAUAUUUUCCCAGAAAAAGAGACUCCAGAGAACUGUCCUGUGUCAGCUUUUUUCUUACCCUGACUUUUCAUGGGGGCAAUUAGAACUGUAUAGGAUCUCUAUGUGAAUUAAAUUUUAUAACACCCCUGGCCCCAUGCCCAAGCUGCAAUUUCUCUUCUUAAAAAAAAAAAAAAGUAACCCUAAAAAUCUUUUUGCUGUUGAGAGCAGGAUCCUGAUGGUAUCUGUGUGACUGAGAGAGCACCAGUAACACUGAAUGAAGGUUUGACACUUGUUUAAACAAAUUUGAGAGCUUGGGGGACAUUUUCAGAACAGCUGAACAACUGAGCUCCUUGAAUCUCAUUUCUUUUUUGUUAACUCCACCCCUGAGGAUGUUUUAUGUUGUGUGGAGCCAGUGCUGAUUCUGCUUGCUGGGCCCACCUGCAGCACAUCUCCCCUGUCUGCAGAAUGGCCUUCAGUGAAGCCACCCGAGUGUAUUUUGAAUGAAAGAAACACCAGGUAGCUUGAAAGCUGUCUAACAAGCUGAGAGUAAAGACAACAUUUAAUGGCUUUCUAAAUUUUUUCUACUUUGAUUAUGAAAGACUGAGUUGCUGUUUAAAUAUAAUAUUUAAUGUCACUCAGAACUGUGUGGUUCUGGUUUUAGGCCAACCAAACAGGAAAUUUUUUUUUGUUGUAAGUGAUAGAAUUCCAUUUUACUUGUCUGGUCCAGAUGGUGUUUGACCUGCUAAGAGUUCAUGUGGUGUUAGAAAAAAUAUUGAACUUAGUGUACUAUAUGUGAAAAUGAUACAAAAUCAUGAAGGCAGAGUCUCUGGGGGGAGGGGGUGGUCUGGGAAGGAGGGCACGAAUGACACAGAAAAAUGGAACAAUUUACAUUAGAACAUGCCCUGCUUAGCCAGCUAUGUGUUUAACUGUUGCUUAUAUAAAAAAUGAAUUUUGCAGCUUUACUGCUAUCUAAAAAGUAAAUCUAAGAAGAACGUUGCUUUCUGCUAUGAAGUAAUUGAGGUCGGCCUUUCACAGGAGUGGAAGCCUGUAAUUGGAGACAGACCUGCUCGGUAACCAAAAUAUUUUCUCUUUUUUUCUUUUCCCUCUUUUCUCUGUCUUUUGUAUGUUUUGUAUUGCUCUUUCUAGCUAAGGAAACCGUAUUGGUCUCCAGUGUCAUUUUAGCAGCUGGAUUAGUUCCAAAGGGUUUAGGCUUGGGCAAGCAGCGUUUGAGUCUCUCAGCAAACUCUGCUGACAGCCACAAAAUGUAUGGCUGUGCCUCUCCAAGCCACGAUGUCAUUCAGCCCUGGAUCUGGCCAGUCCUGGAUUGCUUGUUAUCCUCCAUUGUUUGUGCAGCUUUUCCAUUAGAACUUCUGUCAGUGGUGAGGUCAGAUGGCAAUGAUGACAUUCUUGGCAUAGCUUCUUUGUUCAUAUCCUUAGAAAAAAAUAAUCCCAUAGUAGCACUUAAUUCAGUUUCAGUAUUGCCUUAUUUGUCCUAUUGGCUUGAUGGCUUAUACUCCUCCUCCAGCUACUGUGACUACAGCCAGGCAAAUGUCACAGGGUGGUAUUUGCUGUUACUUGAAUAAAGUUAUCCUUGACCUCUCAUAGUUGCUUUCUGUUGAAGAUUGUAUUAGCCAAUUUUUAUUCCUGGUAAGGGAAGAAAUGGUGGGAACAUGGAAAUGCAGAAAUGUGUGUACUGGCAAAACUGUGCUGAACAGUGCAGCUGGAGACAGAAACAAUUGCAGGAGGAACUGAUCACAGCACAGACCUGAGCAGGAGCUGCUGUGACAUCCAGGAGUGAGGAUUCAUGUCCUGAGCAACCUUUCCAUGUGGAGACCCGGCCUAGAAAACACACAGGGUAAAGUUGAACCAAUGGCAGUUAAACUGCAAAUCUGCACAUCUGCUGUCAACUGCAGCUGUUUUUGACCUGUAAAUUGUUGUUGCACCUUUAUUAUGAUGCAAUUCUUAAAAUUUCAAACCUUGAAAGUAAACCUUAAUUCAUUAAAUCACAGAAAACCAGUGCUUUGGACAGGCUAUGCAGCAGCUCUGGAGGCACUUCAAAUGAUGGAAGACUGGGAAAAUCUGUUCUUGCAUCAUACUUAGAGAAUUUCCUACUUGAAAACAGUGACAUACUGACUGCUAGAAGCUUGUCUUGUCCUUUUCCAACACAUUGCAAGAACGACUUGGCUGGUGGAUACACCAGGGAGUUCUUGGAAUAUUUACGAACAGAUCCUUUUAUUGCUGUGAGAAAAAAAUUAUGAUGCAUGAAGGACAACACUCAGCUAUUCUGUGCUGUGUGUUUGUUGCAGUAGUUGUACCUCCUGGGCAGAGAAGGAUCCAUCACACCUUCUGCACCAAGCUGUAGUAAAUUUAGGAAGGCAACCCUGACCUUUCAUGCCUUGUCCUAAAAAGUGCUCUAUGGCAGCCUAAAUCCUUGAUGUUGGUGCUACAGCCAGAACCGUGGGUAUGUGGAGAAGCUGGAUUUAGGAACUUUUGUCUUUGGUUCCAGAACCUGCAGUCGUUAAUGUGUGGAGGUGUUUAUUAAGAGAUGCUGCAGCUGUUAAUGUGUAGGGUGGUUAUUGUUUUUUAUAAUUGCCUGUUUGCUAGAAAAUAUGUCAAUAUUCCCAACCAUCAGGAUUUUCAACAUGCUGCUUCCUUGUCUUUCCUGCUUUUUAUUACAAGAAGGACCUUCCUAAGCCAUCAGUCAUUUAUCACUCCACUGUCAGAAGAACUUGGAAGAGUAGUUGUUCCCUUUUCCCUCCAGCUCACUUCACAUGAUACCACUGAUUAUCCAGCACCAUGUUCCCAAGCAAUAUUUUCACAUCAAGUUCUCUUUAGGUGCAUCACUUUCCUUUGAUCAAAAAUUACAGAAAAGAACAAGCACAGACUACAAACAUUCUUCCAGCUCUUACCAGCAGGUGUCACAGCAAUGACAGGAAGGAAGAGGCAGAAUGAAGUUCUGAGUAAACUUCCUUUACCAGAGAAGUCUGUAUGCAAAACUAUGCAUGAAUUUAAAUAUAUUGAAAAUACUUUUUCUUUUCCAUGGCCUUCUACAUAUCUUAAUAUUCACUCCCUACAGCAGUGGCCAGCUCCUGAACACUGUCAUUGUAGAUUAAUUGAAGCCAAGGGGCAAAAAAAAAAGGUAGGAACCAAACAGCUCAAUCCUCACCUUAUUCAGUCCAGUGGAGCACAUGGUACAUUCAGAACAUACAGUGAUAUUUUGAGUUAGGCAGGGAGAGAGAGGCCCAGAAACAAGCAGCAGGAAGAAGUGCUGUGGAAUAUUGUAAGGAAAUACUGGCUAUAAUAUGAGAAUUUAAAGGCCUUGAUUGCUGGCAGCAUUUCCUUUGGGUUUGGGUCGUAAGUGAAUGAACAUCUGGUUACUCUUCUAAAGGAGCUGACUUUAACAGGACAUGACUUUUCCCUGAUUACCUGAAAUAUCAAACCAGUGUUUUGCAAGGUAGACGUUUCCACCCUGCCUGGAAUAAAGCCUCGUCUCUGCACCAAGAGCCGUGCGUGUGUCAGCGCUGAGCUCUGCCCGCCCUGGCGUGACCGCAGAUCCUCCUGUCCCACCCCAGCAGCCCGAGCGCAGCAGCCUCCAGCCCAUUUGCAUCCGAAAGGCGACUUGAACUGACGGCAGAGGAGACGCAGUCAAUGGCUUAUUGCUGGUGUCGGUGUGUGCUAAUUAUACCCUGGGUAAUCACCCCGCAGAACAUGUGCACAGCUUUCAAACCGCCGCGGCUAUUUUUACUAAACCUCGGCUAUAUUUACCGCGCACUGGGCUGGUGGCACUCGAGCAUCCCCUUUCUGGUGUAUUUAUAGCGAAAUGCAGCUGAAGGUAAUGGGCCGGGACAGGCGCUCUGAGGGACGCUAAUCCCAGCCUGG